GGACAAAGGCGGCGCGCAGCUUGUGUCGUCCGCCAUUUUGUGCUAAGCAAGGUGGCCACCACGUUCCCUGAGCGACUUCUCCGCUUCUGCCUCGACCGCCCCUUGACUCCAGCUAUGUCUCGGGAUCGGUUCCGGAGUCGCGGUGGCGGCGGUGGAGGCUUUCACCGGCGCGGAGGAGGCGGCGGCCGCGGCGGCCUCCACGACUUCCGCUCUCCGCCGCCGGGCAUGGGCCUCAACCAGAACCGCGGCCCCAUGGGCCCGGGCCCUGGCGGCCCGAAGCCGCCGCUCCCGCCUCCGCCUCCGCACCAGCAGCAGCAGCAGCCUCCGCCGCAGCAACCUCCGCCGCAGCAGCCGCCGCCGCACCAGCAGCCGCCGCCGCACCAGCCGCCCCAUCCACAGCCCCCGCCUCCGCCGCAGGAAUCCAAGCCCGUCGUCCCCCAAGGCCCCGGCUCGGCGCCGGGAGUGAGCGGCGCGCCGCCUCCGGCCGUCUCGGCCCCGCCCGCCACCCCCCCGACCACCGGCGCUCCGCCGGGCCCGGGUCCGACCCCGACGCCGCCGCCCGCCGUCCCGUCCACCGCCUCCGGACCGCCUCCCGCCUCGACGCCGAGCAGCGGAGUCUCCACCACCCCUCCACAGACCGGCGGCCCUCCGCCACCGCCCGCCGGGGCCGCCGGCCCGGGGCCCAAGCCCGGACCGGGCCCCGGCGGCCCCAAAGGCGGUAAGAUGCCCGGUGGGCCUAAGCCUGGAGGUGGCCCGGGCAUGGGCGCUCCUGGCGGCCACCCGAAGCCACCACACCGAGGUGGCGGCGAGCCCCGUGGGGGCCGGCAGCACCACGCGCCCUACCACCAGCAGCACCACCAGGGGCCCCCUCCCGGCGGGCCGGGACCGCGCACGGAGGAGAAGAUCUCCGACUCGGAGGGAUUUAAAGCCAACUUGUCUCUCUUGCGGAGGCCUGGAGAAAAAACUUACACACAGCGCUGUCGGUUGUUUGUGGGGAACCUACCCGCUGAUAUCACUGAGGAUGAGUUCAAAAGGCUGUUCGCUAAAUACGGGGAACCCGGAGAAGUGUUUAUCAACAAAGGCAAAGGGUUCGGGUUCAUUAAGCUUGAAUCUAGAGCCUUGGCUGAAAUCGCCAAAGCUGAACUUGAUGAUACUCCCAUGAGAGGUAGACAGCUUCGGGUUCGAUUUGCUACACACGCUGCAGCCCUGUCUGUUCGAAAUCUCUCUCCUUAUGUUUCCAACGAACUUUUGGAAGAGGCCUUUAGCCAGUUUGGUCCUAUUGAAAGGGCUGUUGUAAUUGUGGAUGAUCGCGGAAGAUCUACAGGGAAAGGCAUUGUUGAGUUUGCUUCCAAGCCAGCAGCAAGAAAAGCAUUUGAAAGAUGCAGUGAAGGUGUUUUCCUGCUGACAACGACUCCUCGCCCAGUCAUUGUGGAGCCACUUGAACAGUUAGAUGACGAAGAUGGUCUUCCUGAAAAGCUGGCCCAGAAGAAUCCAAUGUAUCAAAAGGAGAGAGAAACACCACCUCGUUUUGCUCAGCAUGGCACAUUUGAGUAUGAAUAUUCUCAACGAUGGAAGUCCUUGGAUGAAAUGGAAAAACAGCAAAGGGAACAAGUUGAAAAAAACAUGAAGGAUGCUAAAGACAAAUUGGAAAGUGAAAUGGAAGAUGCCUACCAUGAACACCAAGCAAAUCUUUUGCGCCAAGAUCUGAUGAGACGCCAGGAAGAAUUAAGGCGCAUGGAGGAACUUCACAGUCAAGAAAUGCAGAAACGUAAAGAAAUGCAAUUGAGGCAAGAGGAGGAACGGCGUAGGCGAGAGGAAGAGAUGAUGAUUCGCCAACGUGAGAUGGAAGAACAAAUGAGACGCCAACGAGAAGAAAGUUACAGCAGGAUGGGCUACAUGGAUCCAAGAGAAAGAGACAUGAGAAUGGGUGGUGGUGGAACAAUGAACAUGGGAGAUCCCUAUGGUUCAGGAGGCCAGAAAUUUCCACCACUAGGUGGUGGUGGUGGCAUAGGUUAUGAAGCUAAUCCUGGAGUUCCACCAGCAACCAUGAGUGGUUCCAUGAUGGGAAGUGACAUGGUAAGAAUGAUUGAUGUUGGCUGAUUUUGGAGUCUUAUUUACUUGAGGUGGAAUUAGAUGUUCUCAAGGCAUCACACAACAUGGGUCAGCUAAAAAGGAAAGCCACAAUUGAAUUAGACUGACAGACUCUAGGUUCCAUCAGUUUAUUUACCAGUUCCUGCUCAACAGCUAUCAGAGCCAGGCUACUAAGUUUCUCUUGUCCCAUGGUACGAAAUAAGUAUGUUUUAAGAUGAGACAGCGUGGAAAAUGACUUCUCAUUAUUCGCUGAAGUAAUUGGCCAAGAUAAAGCAAUAUGCAACAGCUUCGUGAUACAAGGAAUAUUAUUGUGGAGACCAUGCUGAAUAAACAAACAGCCCAGGUCAAUGAAGCUUAAGGACCUAUUCUCUGUAAUGAAGUUGAAACUUGCAUACUGCCGGUAAAAUCGGAGCUCGGGAAUGAUGUCUGCAUCAAGCUUAUAGAACUCCUGGAUGUGUUUGGCUGUUGAUUCAUUUAAUGGCUCAUUCCAUUUAAGUAACAGCUCUGAAAUUUGUUUCAUUUUACAAUAGUCAAACUCUGAAAAAUAUAACUUUAAAUUUUUUAAUACAGUGUCCAGACCUUGGUAGUAAAUAUUAAUUUUAUAUUGUUCAUCUGCUGAAGUAGGAAAAAACAUAUGCUCUGAAUUGCUGGGAUCUACUGUUUUUUGAAUUUUUCUUCUUUUUUGAAAAGAGGGUUUCUCAACAUCAAAACCCUUGUUGGUUAUCUUUUUACAUAUUUCAUCUGCUCCAUCCCAGAUAGUUUUAAAAUAUGUAUCAUUUCUUUCAGAAGAUAAACAUUCCAAAAUUGCUUCUAUUUUUGAAAACAAAGAAAAGAUGUCAACAGUUUCACUUUGAAACUCUCUAGAAAGAAUCCCUGUGAUACUGAGUACUCGAUAAAGAAAUUUCAAACAAAAUAUAAAUUCAAACUUGGUAACCAUCGACAACAAGUCGUCCAGCUCAGCAGCCACUGCUGUGCCUGCGCAACGGCGCGACACAGAUGCCAGCACCUCGAUGACCUCCGGAAGGCAGUCCGUCACAGCCAGCAGCAAAUGGUCGUGGGCUGGCCAACACGACUGUGACGUGUGUUUCUUACAAGUUUUAUUCAGACUUAGCUUACACAUGGUUUGCAAACUUGCCAACAUUUCUUCAGACACACGAACAGUGUUGAACAAAGAGCCGAGAGUGUUUAGUGCACCUCGGAGCUCCUUCACCUCCUUACAGAAGCUCAUCACCGCUAACUCAAAAAAAUGUGCGUGACAAUGCACAUAGAGAACUCUUGGCUCUUCCUUCUUGAAUUCUGUUACAACUUCAUUCAAUUUUACCCUAAAAUUUGUGGCACUAUCAUAGGCUUGGCCACAUAUUUUAUUAAAAUCAAUUCCAACCUGCUGCAGGUAAGCUUUGAUCUGCCCAUGCACAUGGACCCCAGUCACUUCCUCGGCAGUCACAAACCCCAGGAACCUUUCCUUAACCAAGACAGCACUUGGUGUCUUUUGUGGGUACCUCACACACACGGAAAGCUGUCUCUCGGCGGCACUACCAGCUAUCUCCUCACAGAUUAUUGAAAAGGCUGAGGAGGCGUUGAUCUCACUCACGAUGUCUUGCAACAUCUCACCCUUUAUCAUUUCAAUAAUCUCCUCCUGGACAAGUGUACUACUAUAGAAGUCCACGUGUGAACUCAUAAGCUGAAAUACUUCUCCUUUAUCUCUUGCUCUAAGUUCUAGUAAUUCCAAAAAAUUGCCUUUAUUAAUGGAUGAAAUAGACUGGUCAUUUCCUUUUAACAGCAAGCACUGUUUUCCAAGAAAUAAAAUGUUCUCAAUGACGAGCUUUAGGUACUUUUUAUUUCCUUCAAUCUGUUUUGAAUAAACAGAUGAAUUAUCACGUGGAACAGCAUCGAGAAACUGGUACUGCCUCCAAAAUUGCAAUGACUUUAAGUGCACUUCACUUUCUUCAUGCUUUUUGAAAAUUUCCAGCAUUUUCUCCCAGUCAGCAGUUCCUUGGGUUGCAAAAACUUCUCUCCGACAGCUAAAUUUUUUCUGGAAGAA